rnacentral:rRNA from 1 species
AGUGAACGCUGGCGGUAGGCCUAACACAUGCAAGUCGAACGGCAGCACAGUAAGAGCUUGCUCUUACGGGUGGCGAGUGGCGGACGGGUGAGGAAUACAUCGGAAUCUACUUUUUCGUGGGGGAUAACGUAGGGGAACUUACGCUAAUACCGCAUACGACCUACGGGUGAAAGCAGGGGAUCUUAGGACCUUGCGCGAUUGAAGGAGCCGAUGUCGGAUUAGCUAGUUGGCGGGGUAAAGGCCCACCAAGGCGACGAUCCGUAGCUGGUCUGAGAGGAUGAUCAGCCACACUGGAACUGAGACACGGUCCAGACUCCUACGGGAGGCAGCAGUGGGGAAUAUUGGACAAUGGGCGCAAGCCUGAUCCAGCCAUGCCGCGUGUGUGAAGAAGGCCUUCGGAUUGUAAAGCCCUUUUGUUUGGAAAGAAAAGCAGCAGGUUAAUACCCCGCUGUUCUGACGGUACCCAAAGAAUAAGCACCGGCUAACUUCGUG